rnacentral:rRNA from 1 species
GCCCUUAGAGUUUGAUCCUGGCUCAGGAUGAACGCUGGCGGCGUGCCUAACACAUGCAAGUCGAGCGAUUUACUUCGGUAAAGAGCGGCGGACGGGUGAGUAACGCGUGGGUAACCUGCCCUAUACACACGGAUAACGUACCGAAAGGUACGCUAAUACGAGAUAACAUAUUUUUAUCGCAUGGUAAGAAUAUCAAAGCUUCGGCGGUAUAGGAUGGACCCGCGUCUGAUUAGCUAGUUGGUAAGGUAACGGCUUACCAAGGCGACGAUCAGUAGCCGACCUGAGAGGGUGAUCGGCCACAUUGGAACUGAGACACGGUCCAAACUCCUACGGGAGGCAGCAGUGGGGAAUAUUGCACAAUGGGCGAAAGCCUGAUGCAGCAACGCCGCGUGAGCGAUGAAGGCCUUCGGGUCGUAAAGCUCUGUCCUCAAGGAAGAUAAUGACGGUACUUGAGGAGGAAGCCCCGGCUAACUACGUGCCAGCAGCCGCGGUAAUACGUAGGGGGCUAGCGUUAUCCGGAAUUACUGGGCGUAAAGGGUGCGUAGGUGGUUUCUUAAGUCAGAGGUGAAAGGCUACGGCUCAACCGUAGUAAGCCUUUGAAACUGAGAAACUUGAGUGCAGGAGAGGAGAGUAGAAUUCCUAGUGUAGCGGUGAAAUGCGUAGAUAUUAGGAGGAAUACCAGUUGCGAAGGCGGCUCUCUGGACUGUAACUGACACUGAGGCACGAAAGCGUGGGGAGCAAACAGGAUUAGAUACCCUGGUAGUCCACGCCGUAAACGAUGAGUACUAGCUGUCGGAGGUUACCCCCUUCGGUGGCGCAGCUAACGCAUUAAGUACUCCGCCU